rnacentral:misc_RNA from 1 species
GACGGAGAGGCCUAUGUUUACCUGCUUAAUGCUCUUGCACCAGAACUCAGUAGCCCUGCCACCUUGGAUUCUAGUGAUCCUGGGGAGAGAGCAAACAUGGUCCUUGAGCAGGCAGAGAGNNNNNNNNNNNNNGAUAUCUCACUGCUAAAGACAUUGUUGAGGGCUCCCCAAAUCUUAAUCUUGCAUUUGUGGCUCAAAUAUUCCAGCACAGGAAUGGAUUGACAGUUGACACUAAUAAGACGUCAUUUGCUGAGAUGAUGGAGGAUGAUGCUCAAACUUCUCGGGAAGAGAGAUGCUUCCGACUGUGGAUUAACAGUCUUGGAAUUGUUAGCUAUGUUAAUAAUGUUUUUGAGGAUGUCAGAAAUGGAUGGGUUCUUUUAGAAGUGCUUGACAAAGUUUCACCUGGAUCAGUUAAUUGGAAGCA